GUCUGCCACGAGUUGUGGCCCUGAAAAAUAGAUCAGAACUAGCAAUUUCUGGGAAUGUGCAAUUGCAUGUAAUUCAUCAGUUCCAAGGACCACCUUUGGAAGCUUUUUAACAAGCCUGUUAAAAAUCUCUUCAACAUCAUAUUUUACGUGAAGCUUCCCAUGUGAUGAGAGCAAAUGUCCAAAGAACGACUGUGAAGCUGAGGACACCUCCUCGGAG
rnacentral:misc_RNA from 1 species